AUCUAUCUAUAUUUCAAGAUAUUAUCCCAUUGCAAAUGGAUAGAUUUUAUUCCUUAAGGAAAAUUUAUGCAAACCAGUUUACCACAGUUUCAAAGAAGAAAGAGAGGGGAAAUUAAAGAAAAAGAGACGGGAGAAAUGAGGGCAAUGGAGGGGCAGUCACUGCCUUGUAUACAUAUCAAUUUAAUUGUAAGUGUGCAUAAAUAUUUCAACAGUGUUACUAUCGCAGUACUUCGAGGAACCAUAUAUUACAUUACCCUGCACAAUUUACAUAGACCAUGGGGAAAAUAAAGAGCAGGAGAAGAAGAAGGAAGCGAACGAGGAAGGUUCUCUCUGUAUCUCACAAACAUCUAUUAAACAAAUAAUUAUACAGCAAAGAGUUUUUACAUUCAACUAUUAUGUUUAAUAAUAUUUAGGGAAUAAUAUUUAUGUCAAAAUAACAUUACCUAUAUUCCAGUUUUAUAGACCUGACUUAAAGAGUAAUAUGUUUCAUCUUUGUCUAGAAUAAUAUAUACAUAAUUGUUUUCUUGGCUUAUAUCCUGGUAUCUACGGUUUCUACCCCUGCUGUACAUAUAGGGGCUGCAGCUGUGUGAGCGAGCGAGCGAGCCAACGACUGAUUCGUUCAGCCUUGAACUUCUCUGCGAGUGCAUUAACUCUGCGGACAGCGCAGCCGGCGUCGCAGUCGCAGCUCUGUCCGCUCGCGCAGAAUGCUUGUUCUUGUCUCGCUCGCACUCGCAGCCCCACCGGCUAAACGGCAUACGCAAUGUGUGCCCAAAUGCGAGUGUGUGUGUGUGUGCCGUAUGUGUGUGGCCAGUGACCGAGGGAUGCGGAACAGAGGGGUGGAGCGGAGAGGAGGAGGAGUUCUGGGCUGCACAUUCCGCGCCUCGGAUCUCCGAUCUUGCGCUUUAUGUAAUCUAGAAUAUUGUCUUGUCAUACGCGUACAGUGGAACCCUCGUAAGUGGGAUAUGUAGGGAGUGAAGCAUGAGGUUACGUAUCAUAGAUUAGAAGAAUUCAGCUUUAAGUUCAAUUAGCAGUUUUAUUAUUUCAAUAGACUUUUAAUAAAUAAAAUAUCUUCAUUACUUUCUAAAUGAAACCACUUUUCUAAGAUCUCUUGAAAAUGAACCAAAAAGUAGGCAAUACAAAAGUUGAUAUGAUACAUCUAUGAUCUUUUUGGAAACUCCAUUAAUUCAGUUAUUCAUCUUAAAGACUGCAAACUGUAUUUAUGAGUUUCUUCUGAGACUGCUUCCUUCGCUUGGAACUGGCACCCCCAUGAAGGAUUGUAUUACAUAAGCGACAAGCGGCGGGCGAUAAGUUUCGCUUUCGCAUAUGCACAUGUGGGCGUGGUAUAUACACACAUACAAAGGCGUAUAUGCAUACAAGCACACACACACACACACACGGGAGCAGCCGAUUAUGAAUACAAACACUCGCACAAACAGGCGGUGAACACUCCUUUUGUCUGGCGAGCGAGUGUUUUGAACCUUCGAGGCACUGGCCUUGAACCUACCGAUCGCAGUUUGUUUGCAAAACAGACUCACAGACACACAGUCACACACGGACACCCAGACACACGCACACUCGCACACACUCGAGUGUGGGGAGUUAUAAAAACAACUUCAAUUCAGUGUUUUUUUUUUUGUUUUGUAUCGCUCAGCGUUCUUUGUUUUUGUUCUUGCAAUUUGUUGGUUCUGCCAUUCACAUUUAUAAACACACAUAAGCAUUGGCAUUGGACUCGUGCGUUGGUGUGCGUAUUUGCCUGACCCCACACAACAUUGCACACACACAUUGCGUUUUGUCCUUGAGAUCGUUUCUUGCCGUUGGCGCACUGUUGCCAUCCCUUUCGCGCCCCCCUGUUACAGCACCAGCCUCCAAUCGCUCCACGCCCAUUCCCCCAAACAGCAACCUGCACAACAACUGUUUUCCAUUGGAGGUUUUCAGGUAUUUCGUUCUUAAGUAACUGAAGUUUUCGGAUUCAGGUUGCCAAGCCCCUUCUUCCAAAUUAGGCAGUUAAAUGCUCGUAUCAGCCGUUAUUGUGCCCUUUUUUUUACUGUACAAAUACUGACCAUCUUUCAGCAAAUUCCCUGCAGAUAUCUAUAAGGUCAAAAAUCCAUAAAUCUGAGAUCUUUCAAUCAUAACAUCUAAGAAAUACUCAACAUAUACUAUGUAUAUAAACCAGAAUUGAAGGAAACAAUUUGCAAGUACAUUUAUUUGGUGACUUUAUAAAGUCAACGACUGUGAAAAGCGUGCAGCAUUUAAUUGAUAUACCAGAUAAUUGCGUUUCAAUAAUAUUUCUCAGUAUGAUAAUAUAUUUCUCUUCUCUUGACGCUUGUUGAUUAUAAUAUUUGGCUCUCAGAGAGAAGUAUUGUGCAGCCCUAUCAGCCGUGGCCACCAGUUGGUCGUGGUUCCCGCCUCCGGACUCCAAGGCUACCACGAUUACGAAUGCAUUUCGCUUAUCAUGACCGAUAAGUGCCACCAAUUUGUAGAUAAGUAUGUGCAUACAUAUGUAAACCCAAUUUGUAUAGGGGGUGCGCAUUGCAGCCGUCAGCUGUGGCCUUUGUUUCAAUAUUUAUCGAGUCAUUCUGCUCGAAUAUACAAAUGCGCAUACAAAUGCGUAUGUGUGGCUGGUGGAAAUAUACUUUUAGAUGGGUUUUUUGGGGAGAAGUGACCGAUAAGCUGGGAAAAAGAUUUCGUUUCACAACAACAAGUUUUUGGGUUCAAGGCUGGUCAAGUGAGAAAUGUAAAUAUACAUAUAUUGCAUCAUGUUGUUUCAGUUCGCGAUUGCAUAUUUGAGGAUGUGUACACUUCUCUCCCAAUUGACGUUAAUUGAGUAAUCUAUGAAUAAUCGCAAAUGAAUCACCUUCAAUUGCCAUACAAAAAGCAGCGUGCUUAAUUUCCCAUAAUUCCCUUUUAAUCUUGAAAUUAUUUUGGCUUGAAAUUCUAAGCUGGACAUAUCAUCAUGAGAACUGUAAUUUUAUAUCGUUGAACUUGUAAUCUUGGAUUUGUCAAGUAUUUAAUUCGAUUUUUGAUUUCCUCAAAAACUCCAUAUGCUCGAAGAAUGUCUUUCGUUAACAAGAACUUAAUUCCAAUUAAAAUGACUCAACAAGAGUGCAUAAAAAGAACAAUACAUUACAAUACUGUUUAUAUACAGGAAGGAUAAAAUAAACAAAGCAAUGCGAUAACUCAUUGGCUUCAAUUUAGGCUCUUAUACUUCCAUCAACCACAAUCAGAUUAUUAAAAUUUAUGUAUUCUGCGAAUUCGAGGAAUACGUCUUAAAUUAACAGUCUUACAUUUGGAAGUUGAAUUUGAUACGCGUUUUCUUCUAGUGUAACAUUCUUUCUGUACACGAUGAAUGUGACUCAGCAGCUUGGGAAUUUUAGCACCGGAAAUGCUUAGGUGUAAUAAGUUUGCUAAGCCUAAACAACAUUUGCUUAUUACAAAAAAAUUUCACCAAUUUAUUUGGGCAACAAGUAAGUCAAUUGUAAGAUGUGUUCUUUUAAAGGUGUACGAGAUUGUAUAACUAUGUAUAUGUACGUUUGUAGACUGGAGACACAUAAUAUUCUGGUUUGAGAACAGAGGAGAUUCCAUAAAAAACGUGGAUAGGAUGUUGAUACCCCCACACUGACACCAUAUGCAUAUGUAUUUGUAGUUGGAACACUUGCACUUGUUGUCUGUCAGUCGGUGUAUCCUCCUCUCCCUCUCCCUCUACCACCAUUCUCCCUCUCACUCACUCUUUGUCCGUGUCUGCUGUGCUUGUGGGUGUGUGCGUGUAAUAUCCGUUAAAAGUUUCGUUGUUCGUCUUGAUUCUACACUUGCAAUAAUACUUUAUAUUAUAUUCAAUUAAUUGUUAAGUCAUUUUGCUUUUGAAAGAGAUAUUUUAGUAUAUGAUUUUAUUUCAAAAACUUACUAAUAUUUUUAAGCAUCGAUUAUAAACGCAAGGUAACAAGAUGUUUCUACAAUGUUAGUAAUAGAGUAUAUUGUAGCUACUCUUUAUAAAGAUAUAUCUUUAGAAUAUGUAUAUAUGUAUAUACAUAUAUAGAUUUGUACAUACAUGUAUGUAUGUUUACGGUAAAACAAAGGAAACAACUUUUCUGCUGCACUGCGAAAUGCGAUGUGAC